UACAGAGGUCCCAAGCGUUGUUCGGAUUCACUGGGCGUAAAGGGUGCGUAGGUGGCGGGGUAAGUUUGAUGUGAAAUCUCCGGGCUUAACCCGGAAACUGCAUUGAAUACUAUUCUGCUCGAGGUUUGGAGGGGGGACUGGAAUUCUCGGUGUAGCAGUGAAAUGCGUAGACAUCGAGAGGAACACCAGUGGCGAAGGCGAGUCCCUGGACAACACCUGACACUGAGGCACGAAAGCUAGGGGAGCGAACGGG
rnacentral:rRNA from 1 species